rnacentral:rRNA from 1 species
UACGUAGGGGGCAAGCGUUGUCCGGAAUCAUUGGGCGUAAAGAGCGCGUAGGCGGCCCAGUAAGUCCGCUCUGAAAGUCAGGGGCUCAACCCCUGAAUGCGGGUGGAUACUGCUGGGCUAGAGUCCGGAAGAGGCGAGUGGAAUUCCUGGUGUAGCGGUGAAAUGCGCAGAUAUCAGGAGGAACACCGAUGGCGAAGGCAGCUCGCUGGGACGGUACUGACGCUGAGGCGCGAAAGCGUGGGGAGCGAACAGG